GGGGGAAUCAAGAUGAUUCUCGCGUUCGUGUGCGCGAUUCUGGCAUUCACGGGUGUGGUACGGCUCGUGUCCGUGAACGCGCACGGUCACACACAGGGAGAGAGAGAGAAAGAGAGAGAGGUUGGAAAAACGCGAGCAAGCAGCGUAGAGUAUC